rnacentral:rRNA from 1 species
UACGGAGGAUGCAAGCGUUAUCCGGAAUGAUUGGGCGGAAAGCGUCCGCAGGUGGCUAUGUAAGUCUGCUGGUAAAGAGUGAGGCUCAACCUCAUAAGAGCAGUGGAAACUACAUGGCUAGAGUGCGUUCGGGGCAGAGGGAAUUCCUGGUGUAGCGGUGAAAUGCGUAGAUAUCAGGAAGAACACCGGUGGCGAAAGCGCUCUGCUAGGCCGCAACUGACACUGAGGGACGAAAGCUAGGGGAGCAAACAGG